rnacentral:rRNA from 1 species
UGGGGAAUAUUGGACAAUGGGCGCAAGCCUGAUCCAGCCAUACCGCGUGGGUGAAGAAGGCCUUCGGGUUGUAAAGCCCUUUUGUUGGGAAAGAAAUCCAGCCGGCUAAUACCUGGUUGGGAUGACGGUACCCAAAGAAUAAGCACCGGCUAACUUCGUGCCAGCAGCCGCGGUAAUACGAAGGGUGCAAGCGUUACUCGGAAUUACUGGGCGUAAAGCGUGCGUAGGUGGUUAUUUAAGUCCGUUGUGAAAGCCCUGGGCUCAACCUGGGAACUGCAGUGGAUACUGGAUGACUAGAAUGUGGUAGAGGGUAGCGGAAUUCCUGGUGUAGCAGUGAAAUGCGUAGAGAUCAGGAGGAACAUCCAUGGCGAAGGCAGCUACCUGGACCAACAUUGACACUGAGGCACGAAAGCGUGGGGAGCAAACAGG